UUUAGUUUUCAUAGAGGCAUUGAUGUGCACACGUGUUCACAUUUCAAGUUGAAAAAAUUUAUUCGUUAGUGCAUUGUUUUGAGCGUAUUUGUUUCUAAAAUGUUAGGUUUAGUACUUAAGGUAAUUGUGCCCGUCCUGAUGCGCUCCAUGAUACCAUCUGUGGGCCGUAAUCUUGUCCAGUGCGGAUCCAAAUCAUGUUUGUCGCUGCCAUUGCGCAGGGGUCUACAUAUGCGACAUGGUCUAGAAGUGAUGCGAUCACAGGAAGGAGCUCGUUGAUUUUUUAGGAUUCUGUUUGCCGUAUAUCGUGUACUUGUCGCUCGUAUAUGUUAUUUUAGUGUGUGUAUAAUUUUCAAAAACAAAAAUUAAAAUGUUAAUCCAAAUGGAA
rnacentral:sRNA from 1 species